rnacentral:rRNA from 1 species
UACGAAGGGGGCUAGCGUUGUUCGGAAUGACUGGGCGUAAAGCGCACGUAGGCGGAUUGGUCAGUUGGGGGUGAAAUCCCGGGGCUCAACCUCGGAACUGCCUCCAAUACUGUCAAUCUUGAGUUCGGGAGAGGUGAGUGGAAUUCCUAGUGUAGAGGUGAAAUUCGUAGAUAUUAGGAAGAACACCAGUGGCGAAGGCGGCUCACUGGCCCGAUACUGACGCUGAGGUGCGAAAGCGUGGGGAGCAAACAGG